rnacentral:rRNA from 1 species
AGUGGCAAAGGAUGUGCGUUUGCUCAGACAACCAGGAUGUUGGCUUAGAAGCAGCCACCCAUUCAAAGAGUGCGUAACAGCUCACUGGUCGAGUGGACAUGCGCCGACAAUAUACGGGGCUAAGCACGGUACCGAAGCGGCGGACCCGCGCGCGAGCGCGGGUGGUAGGGGAGCUUUCCGUCCGGGGCGAAGCCGGGGGGCGACCACCGGUGGACCGGCCGGAAGUGAGAAUGCUGGCAUGAGUAGCGAGAGGGGCGUGAGAAACGCCCCCGCCGUAAACCCAAGGUUUCCUGGGCAAGGCUAAUCCUCCCAGGGUCAGUCGGGUGCUAAGGCGAGGCCGGAAGGCGUAGCCGACGCGCAGCAGGCAGACAUUCCUGCACCCCCGACGCGGCGCCAUCACCGACGGGGUGACGGAGAAGGGUAGCUCAGCGGGGUUCUGGACGUCCCCGUGAGGCCACGUAGGCCGGGCGGCUGUGAAACGCGCCGCCCGCGAGGGCUGAGGUGGCUGACGAAGCGACUGGGUGAAGUGAGUGAGCCCAUGCUCCCGAGAAAAACCCCUAGGGAUGCCGCGCGGGGCCCGUACCGCAAACCGACACAGGUGGGUGGGUAGAACAUACCAAGGCGAUCGGGAGAACUAUGGUUAAGGAACUCGGCAAAACUGCCCCGCAACUUCGGGAGAAGGGGUGCCGCCGCCGGUGGAGGGGCUUGCCCCCCGAGCUGGUGGCGGCCACAGUGAAGAGGUCCAAGCGACUGUUUAUCAAAAACACAGGACUCUGCUGAAGUCGUAAGACGACGCAUAGGGUCUGACGCCUGCCCGGUGCCGGAAGGUCACGAGGAGCCGUCAGCGAGAGCGAAGCGGCGAAUCCAAGCCCCGGUAAACGGCGGCCGUAACUAUAACGGUCCUAAGGUAGCGAAAUUCCUUGUCGGGUAAGUUCCGACCUGCACGAAAGGCGUAACGAUUUGGACGCUGUCUCAACCAUAGACCCGGUGAAAUUGCACUAGUCGUGAAGAUGCGACUUACCCGCGGAAGGACGGAAAGACCCCGUGAACCUUUACUGCAGCUUGACAUUGGCUGCCGGUUCGUCGUGUAGAGGAUAGGUGGGAGACGCCGAACCAGGGACGCCAGUCCCUGGGGAGUCACCCUUGGAAUACCACCCUCGACGUUCUGGCAUCCUAACCCCGCGCCGUGAUCCGGGCGGGGGACCGUGUCAGGUGGGUAGUUUGACUGGGGCGGUCGCCUCCUAAAGAGUAACGGAGGCGCACAAAGGUCUGCUCAGCCUGGUCGGCAACCAGGCCGCUGAGUGCAAGAGCGCAAGCAGGCUCGACUGCGAGGCCCACGAGCCGAGCAGGGACGAAAGUCGGUUCUAGUGAUCCGGCGGCCCAGAGUGGAAUGGCCGUCGCUCAACGGAUAAAAGGUACUCCGGGGAUAACAGGCUGAUCUUCCCCAAGAGUCCACAUCGACGGGAAGGUUUGGCACCUCGAUGUCGGCUCAUCGCAUCCUGGGGCUGGAGCAGGUCCCAAGGGUAUGGCCGUUCGCCAUUUAAAGCGGUACGCGAGCUGGGUUCAGAACGUCGUGAGACAGUUCGGUCCCUAUCCUCCGCGGGCGUAGGAGAACUGAGGGAGGCUGCCCCUAGUACGAGAGGACCGGGGUGGACGGACCUCCGGUGCGCGGGUUGUCGACCAACGGCACCGCCCGGUAGCUGAGUCCGGUUGGGAUAACCGCUGAAAGCAUCUAAGCGGGAAGCCCGUCCCGAGAUGAGUUCUCCCUUCGGUAAGGCCCCUCGUAGACCACGAGGUGAUAGGCCGCAGGUGCAAGCGCCGCGAGGCGCUCAGCCGAGCGGCACUAAUCGGCCGAGCUCUUCUCUUC